UACGUAGGGUGCGAGCGUUAAUCGGAAUUACUGGGCGUAAAGAGCUCGUAGGCGGUUUGUCGCGUCUGCUGUGAAAACCUAAGGCUCAACCUUGGGCUUGCAGUGGGUACGGGCAGACUAGAGUGCGGUAGGGGUGACUGGAAUUCCUGGUGUAGCGGUGGAAUGCGCAGAUAUCAGGAGGAACACCGAUGGCGAAGGCAGGUCACUGGGCCGCAACUGACGCUGAGGAGCGAAAGCAUGGGGAGCGAACAGG
rnacentral:rRNA from 1 species